rnacentral:rRNA from 1 species
UACGUAGGGGGCGAGCGUUGUCCGGAUUUAUUGGGCGUAAAGAGCUCGUAGGUGGUUUGUCGCGUUGUUCGUGAAAACUCACAGCUCAACUGUGGGCGUGCGGGCGAUACGGGCAGACUAGAGUACUGCAGGGGAGACUGGAAUUCCUGGUGUAGCGGUGGAAUGCGCAGAUAUCAGGAGGAACACCGGUGGCGAAGGCGGGUCUCUGGGCAGUAACUGACGCUGAGGAGCGAAAGCGUGGGGAGCGAACAGG